rnacentral:rRNA from 1 species
UACGAAGGGAGCUAGCGUUGUUCGGAAUCACUGGGCGUAAAGCGCACGUAGGCGGAUGUGUCAGUCAGGGGUGAAAUCCCGGAGCUCAACUUCGGAACUGCCUUUGAUACAGCACGUCUUGAGUCCGAUAGAGGUGGGUGGAAUUCCUAGUGUAGAGGUGAAAUUCGUAGAUAUUAGGAAGAACACCGGUGGCGAAGGCGGGUCUCUGGACAGUUCCUGACGCUGAGGCACGAAGGCCAGGGGAGCAAACGGG